rnacentral:rRNA from 1 species
GACGAACGCUGGCGGCGUGCUUAUCACAUGCAAGUCGAACGAUGAACCCGGAGCUUGCUCCGGUGGAUUAGUGGCGAACGGGUGAGUAACACGUGAGUAACCUGCCCUUGACUCUGGGAUAACUGCGGGAAACUGUAGCUAAUACCGGAUACGACCCUCGGCGGCAUCGCCAGGGGGUGGAAAGAAUUUCGGUCAAGGAUGGACUCGCGGCCUAUCAGCUAGUUGGUGAGGUAACGGCUCACCAAGGCGACGACGGGUAGCCGGCCUGAGAGGGUGACCGGCCACACUGGGACUGAGACACGGCCCAGACUCCUACGGGAGGCAGCAGUGGGGAAUAUCGCACAAUGGGCGCAAGCCUGAUGCAGCGACGCCGCGUGGGGGAUGACGGCCUUCGGGUUGUAAACCUCUUUCAGCACCGACGAAGCGCAAGUGACGGUAGGUGCAGAAGAAGGACCGGCCAACUACGUGCCAGCAGCCGCCGCAG